UGGCGCACCAUAGGUUGGACUUUGCUGGUAUCCGAGGAGAAGGGUUGCUAGGAGACCACGCUAAUGAAGGAGUCACCCACUACCAAGAUGGCAAGCUAUACGGCUUCACGCCAGAAACCAAGGCCUUGCUAAGCAACCAUUUUAGAAUCUGGCAAAAUUCAGUUUCCGGGCCGAAACCAGACCAACUCGAUACACGCAGAGAGAAGCAAAGGGAGAAUACCAACUAGGACCCCAGGAAAAGGGUUACCUGCCCCUAACCAAGAUGGCCGCCCAGGAAACUCGGGGCACGUGGGACAUGGCGGCGCUUCCGGUCCCAGUGCCCUCAGUGAAGAUGGCGGCUGUGGAGAAGCGGCGGCCGGCGGUAACACCGGCGGCCAGUUUCACGGACAACGGCCGGCCGUCGGUGUCCCGGGCGCAAGCGGCCGCCGAGAAUGAGGAGGACUUCCUGCGGCAGGUCGGCGUGACCGAGAUGCUGCGCGCGGCCCUGCUAAAGGUUCUGGAGGCGCGGCCCGAGGAGCCCAUCGCCUUUCUGGCGCACUACUUCGAGAACAUGGGCCUGCGCUCUCCGGCAAGCGGCGGCGCCGGAGAACCCCCGGGACAGCUCUUGCUGCAGCAGCAGCGCCUGGGUCGCGCGCUGUGGCACCUUCGCCUGGCUCACCAUUCACAGAGGUGCGGGCGGGGCGGCGGCCAGACUACAGUUCCCGGCAUAUUGCGGGGCGCGGGGCACUCUGGGAGUUGUAGUUCGCGGCCUCCUGGCCGGAGCCGGUGGGCUGGUAUUGCGCUAUAUUUCCGGGCGCGGAGCUUGCUGGGAGUUGUAGUCCUCGCCUCCUGGGCGGGGUGGAGCUGCUACUUCGCCCUCAGUGCCGGCUGCGGGCUGGUGCACGUUUCUGCUGCAGCUGGGGGCUUUCUAGGUCGGAGGGUACCGUAUCCCUUAAGCCAGAAACGAAUAACUGGACCUGGAGAUUGACUAAAGCCGAGCGUGGCCCGCGGGAGGAAAGCCUGGAGUGGGGCGAGCCGGGGCUACUGGUCUGUGUCCCGGAUGGGACGGUUCUGAACUCCCAAGGUGGCCGAGUUCCUAGGUGAGGGUUGCAGCAGACUGGGAAGCUGUCUAACACGCAGCAUCAGCCCUGGGCGACUGUCUGGGGCUGGUGGGCGGUGUUUGGGGGGACCCAGAAGCAGAGGCUGAGGCGGGCAUUGCGUGAUGGCUUAGGAGUGGUGUGCCAGCACGCAGUGCGCCUCAGUCCGUCCCCACGGUGACUCCGGCGCCCCUCAGGGCAGCCCUGCCCGAGCCGGAGAAGCUGGGAGUCUGAGCGCAGCUGGACGGGGUGGGGGCUGGGAGGAGGAGCAGGUGGGCAGGAGGCGGAGUGAUGGGAGUGGAGGGGAGUAGGACUGGCUCCUUGGCACGAGGAGCCCACAGCGGGAAGGUGGACUGGAUUGCCUGAGACAGGGCUGGGAUGGGGCCGUUGUAGACUGGGGGAUUUGAGAAGGCCUCAGGAGAGAAGAGCAGAGCCCGCAGAAAGGGUGGGUGGGAAGGCAAAGCCAGAGAUGAAGAGCCAGGAGAAGUGGCCUCAAGGCGGAAAUUGAUCAGUGGCAGGGCUCCGUAUGUGGUGGCUCAGGUCAAGCACAGCUGUCACAGACGAAGAUGUUUAUGUUCGUCUCGUAGGGCUGGUGGGCAUGUUGGCCCACAUCUGUAAUCUCAUCAGC
rnacentral:lncRNA from 1 species